GUGAGACUCUGCUUUCUCUUUGAUAAUAUCCUUACAAUCUGAAGAGUCCAGCCUGGAAGAAAUUCCCGUUCGAAACAUGGAAUGGCGGAGGUGGCGGAGGAGAACAUCGGCAACGGGUCGUAGUGAAGGAUUGGGGUUGUGGCCCUUAGAAUUGAUGAAUAGUACCGAAUCAUCCAGUAUUACUCCCUUCACCGCUUGCCCAACCAUGAUUGAAAGAAAAUAGUACAGAACCCUCCUCUAGUAUUCCAUAUACUUGGUUCAGUUCAUCGCCAACCCAUCCAUGUUCG
rnacentral:misc_RNA from 1 species